UUUUUUUGCAUGGCUUUUUAGGCAUUGAAUUUUCCAGGACUGCAACAGCUGGGUAAAUUGAGAGACAGUUGUCUCUUGUUUGGUUUGGAAUUUACCGACUUGAUCAUCAUUUUGGACGACCAUCAUCAACAACAAUGUUAUUCAUGGUCUUUGAGCAUCAAAUAACAGUCCUAUAUGAGUCUGCAUUUGUGGCAGUUGUACUCACAGUGGUUCUACAAAUGACUGCAAACAACUGACGACUUCGUUGCGUCUCCUAAUUGAUGCAACUGAGCUCCAGAUCUGAAGCUGCGUAUUCAAUUAAUGGCAGAGUUUGGGCUAGAACUGAG
rnacentral:lncRNA from 1 species